rnacentral:lncRNA from 1 species
AGGAUUUGGAGAGCGGAGGAAUGAAGGAGAGCAGAGAGGAGAGGCUUGGAGAAAGAAGAGGGUUGUCAUGUCAGUUGACACAGGGGUGGAGGCCCGUGCGUGGGCCCCUGAAGUUUCUAGGGCUGACUCUUCCUAAUUUUCUGUGUGGCCUUGAACAAAUCCUCUCUCUGGAUGUCACUCUGCACCUAAGAAGCCAGAUACUUCAGAUGAGGAAACUGAGUCUCAGAGAAGUCGAGGGACUGGCUCAGAGAUGUACAGCAUGGCAUUGCUGGAGCCGGCCUGGAAGACAAGCAGUCUCCCUCCAAUUGCACACUGUUUUCUCUGAGGCUCUGCAUUGUUGGAGGAAGGGUCAGAGGGGCUGGAGAGGAAGAAACAAUGCAAAUAUGAGGCAGCAGAAGGGAAAUCGAGGUUCCUUGAAUUUCUACGCGAAUUUUAGGAUCAGCUUGUCCAUUUCUGCAAAGAAGCCAGCUGAGCUUUUGAUUGGAAUUGCAUUAAAUCUGUAGAUCAAUUUGGAGAGCAUUUGCAUCUUAACAGUAUUAAGACUUCUCAU